rnacentral:rRNA from 1 species
UACAGAGGAUGCAAGCGUUAUUCGGAAUCAUUGGGCGUAAAGCGCGCGCAGGCGGAUCAGCAAGUCAGAUGUGAAAUCUCGAAGCUCAACUUCGAAACUGCGUCUGAAACUGCUAGUCUAGAAUGUCGGAAGGGGCAGGGGAAUUUCACGUGUAGGGGUAAAAUCCGUAGAGAUGUGAAGGAACACCGGGGGCGAAGGCGCCUGCCUGGACGACUAUUGACGCUGAGGCGCGAAAGCGUGGGGAGCAAACAGG